rnacentral:rRNA from 1 species
UACGUAGGGUGCGAGCGUUAAUCGGAAUUACUGGGCGUAAAGCGUGCGCAGGCGGUUCGUUGUGUCGGCGGUGAAAGCCCCGGGCUUAACCUGGGAAUGGCCGUUGAAACUGGCGAACUGGAGUGUGGCAGAGGGGGGUGGAAUUCCACGUGUAGCAGUGAAAUGCGUAGAGAUGUGGAGGAAUACCGAUGGCGAAGGCAGCCCCCUGGGCCAAUACUGACGCUCAUGCACGAAAGCGUGGGGAGCAAACAGG